rnacentral:rRNA from 1 species
AUUGAACGCUGGCGGCAGGCCUAACACAUGCAAGUCGAACGAGUGGCGGACAGGUGAGUAAUGUCUGGGCAACUGCCCGAUGGAGGGGGCUAACUACUGGAAACGGUAGCUAAUACCGCAUACCAUCGGAUGUGCCCAGAGGGGAUUAGCUAGUAGGUGGGGUAAAGGCUCACCUAGGCGACGAUCCCUAGCUGGUCUGAGAGGAUGACCGGCCACACUGGAACUGAUACACGGUCCAGACUCCUACGGGAGGCAGCAGUGGGGAAGAUGGCGCAAUGGGCGCAAGCCUGAUGCAGCCAUGCCGAGUGUAUGAAGAAGGCCUUCGGGUUGUAAAGUACUGUCAGCGAGGAGGCGUUACUCGCAGAAGAAGCACCGGCUAACUCCGUGCCAGCAGCCGCGGUAAUUC